rnacentral:rRNA from 1 species
UACGAAGGGGGCUAGCGUUGCUCGGAAUUACUGGGCGUAAAGCGCACGUAGGCGGGUUCUUAAGUUAGGGGUGAAAUCCUGGAGCUCAACUCCAGAACUGCCUUUGAUACUGGGAAUCUCGAGUCCGGGAGAGGUGAGUGGAACUGCGAGUGUAGAGGUGAAAUUCGUAGAUAUUCGGAGGAACACCAGUGGCGAAGGCGACUUACUGGACACGUAUUGACGCUGAGGUGCGAAAGCGUGGGGAGCAAACAGG